UUUUCAGUGAUCUCUGGUCUGUAGCAGGACAUCUUACCCCUCACAAGAGCUUGCCCGUUGCCUGUCAACCAGUAAGAUAACUGAAACAGGAACAGCUCUCUUGUAGAGAGUUAUUUUGGCACCACAGGGUUUUAACACUGGUCUGGCAUCUCCCAACUGCCAAUAAGCAUCUUAAUGUCGACAUGAGAUCUGGGAGAUUAGCUGGAUUUCUCACUGACAGACAUCUCACUUUACAAAGUAUGAAAACUACACCAAACUCUCACAAAGCAGAAAUGCUCGAUGCAUUUCAUGGAAAUGUAUGGAGUUUUUCCCAUGAGUAGGGAUGCCUGCUUCCCGGUUACUCCCACAGAGAUUGAAGGAAUCAUAAUUUUGGUGGUCUUGUUUGCGAAGCAGCAGAAUAACAUUGAGUUCUACGUCUUAAUACUUCGUAAAGAAUUCUAAACCUAAUUAAUGGAGCCAGAAGUAUGCUGGACUGACUGCAGUUAAAAAUCUUGAAGAUAAAGUUAGCAAAGAGGCCUCUACCAAGGAACACUACAAUUUCAGACUUCUCUGCCAAGAGGAGAUAAGAACAUCACAGCUCUGAUCUUUUGCCCUGUAAAUAUUCAGAGAAGAGUACCAACAGAUCCACUUCAUGAUAUAUAUCAGAUGAUCUGCUGUUUACAUAUCUUCAGUAUAAACUACAAAAACCAGA